AACGAACGCUGGCGGCAUGCCUAACACAUGCAAGUCGAACGAGACCUUCGGGUCUAGUGGCGCACGGGUGCGUAACGCGUGGGAACCUGCCCUUAGGUUCGGAAUAACUCCCCGAAAGGGGUGCUAAUACCGGAUAAUGUCUUCGGACCAAAGAUUUAUCGCCUUUGGAUGGGCCCGCGUUGGAUUAGCUAGUUGGGAGGGUAAAAGCCUACCAAGGCGACGAUCCAUAGCUGGUCUGAGAGGAUGAUCAGCCACACUGGGACUGAGACACGGCCCAGACUCCUACGGGAGGCAGCAGUGGGGAAUAUUGGACAAUGGGCGAAAGCCUGAUCCAGCAAUGCCGCGUGAGUGAUGAAGGCCUUAGGGUUGUAAAGCUCUUUUACCCGGGAUGAUAAUGACAGUACCGGGAGAAUAAGCUCCGGCUAACUACGUG
rnacentral:rRNA from 1 species